CUACGGGCGGCACCAGUGAGGAAUAUUGCACAAUGGGGGGAACCCUGAUGCAGCAACGCCGCGUGGAGGAUGACGCAUUUCGGUGUGUAAACUCCUUUUAUAUGUCAAGAAAAUGACGGUAGCAUAUGAAUAAGCACCGGCUAACUCCGUGCCAGCAGCCGCGGUAAUACGGAGGGUGCAAGCGUUACUCGGAAUCACUGGGCGUAAAGGACGCGUAGGCGGGCUUGUAAGUCAGGUGUGAAAUCCUACAGCUUAACUGUAGAACUGCACUUGAAACUUCUAAUCUAGAGUAUGGGAGGGGGAGAUGGAAUUAGUGGUGUAGGGGUAAAAUCCGUAGAUAUCACUAGGAAUACCUAAAGCGAAGGCGAUCUCCUGGAACAUUACUGACGCUAAGGCGUGAAAGCGUGGGGAGCAAACAGGAUUAGAUACCCUAGUAGUC
rnacentral:rRNA from 1 species